UUUUUAUUGAUUGUAUAUUUGAGCGUGUUUGUUCACGUCUGCGCGUUGUGUUGCCUCCACCGAGCCGCCAUUUUGUGAACAACUACGCAGCGUGGCCCCUCUGUAGCGCUCGGGUAUAAAAAGCCGGCAUGACGUCACACGCCCGCAUUAAUUUCUCGUCGUGAUGCAGUGUGGACGUGUCUCCGUGUUGUGAAGUGAUCCAGUAUUCUAGUGUCUUGUGCCUGUUCGGAUUCAGUCCCAUUGCGUUUCGCGUGGGUCUGCAUCCGACGGCCGCCAUCUUGGUCGUCGCUGGGGCGUGGUCGCUGCUAGCUACAAAAUGGGUUUGUAGAACGGUAUCAUGCAUUUAUUUAGUCUCAUUGUAAAAUAAAGUGUUUCAAUUUAGUCUAUUUCAUGAUAGUUAAAUUGGAAUUUUUUUCUUAUUCAUAUUGAAUAAAAAAUUGUAACAUAUGUUUAAGUAUGGACAUUAAAGAUAUUUAAAAAAGUUGUUGUAUAUCUGAUUUUUAUUUUAUAAACUGUGAUUUUUUACCACACACAAAAUGUAUUAUUCCAUGACUCUACAACUUCUUGGCGGAGAGACACGGUGGAGUAUCUCCGGUGGUGCUAACGGUUGGCGUGUACGAGUACAAACGAGUAUGAGUCGCCUGCCUGCGAAGCUGCUUCCUUUCGCUGCGUACUGCGUAACUCACUAUGGCAUUGCCGUCGUACUCCGUGCUAAUCGGCGCGCUCACGUGAAACAUUCAAGUCCCGGUUGUCAGCCCACUAGGUAACGUUAGGUGAUUGCAUCAUGUUUUCGUUAUGCCCGAACUCGGGCCACUUGUGCGUAACAUUGUCUUUAGGUCUCCACCCGCGGCUGAUAUCGACGUGGAAAACCGAUUUCACCAUAUUGGCAAAUGUGUGGCUUUAUCUAUAAGGGGAAUCGUGGAAGCAAUGACGCGCUCCGGUGAGUCAUGUUUUCAAGGCGAACGCGAGGCUGUAAACAAUGAAUCAAAGAAUUCUUGCAAACAUGAAUCACAAUACCACGGAAUGAACUAGAGGUUUGAAUGUGUGUGUAUAACCAUUAGUCCAAACAGGCACAUCUGUACUGUAAAGAAGACGAUCGUUUCAAGCACUCCUGUGAUCGCGGUUACGCAUCUUGCACUCCAUGAGGGCAGGCCAUGGUUCAGGAGUUACGAGUGAUCGCACUGCACCACGGCAACCUUAAUUUUAGGUAAACUUAAACAAAGUUUUACAUUUUAAUAUCGAAUCAAUCCAUUGUAAUAUAAACAUGUAGUACUUAAUUAUGACAAUGAAACUACGGAGGAUCAAAGGAAAUACAUGAUGCAACAAUUAGGAUUAAUUGAAAUUAACGGAAGUAUAAACAUGCUGCGCGCAAGGAUUUAAUCAAGUGGGCUGAUACAAAUCGGAUGAUUCAAUCUUAUAUCACAAAGAAAUACAUAAAAAGCAAAUUAAGAAUAGGGACACGAGAUUCUGGAUAGACUAAACGGUGAGUAGAAUGCGUUAAAUGAUCCUAAAGAGACCUAAGUGUCUCGCUAAGCUGAAUAUUGUGCGUGCGCACAUUUAUUGAUUUCCAUGCUAACUUCACAGCUAAUGACCGAGUUGGAGCCGAGGCAGACGUGCGCAAGUCACGCGUCAGGCUAAGACCAUAAACAAAGCAGGGCGGUGUUCUUCCUCGUGAAGAAGCAUGACUGGCUCCAAACAUUAGCGCGUGGACCGUCACAACCCCCACAGAUAAGUCAACCGGUCAAACUCAAUAAGUCAUAUCUAACCAGUCUAUAGCAUGAGCGCAAUUUCGAAUAAAAAUUGUAAUCAGAGGAAAAAUGCUGAAUAUGUAACAAAUAACAUUUAAGUACUAUAAUGAAACUAUACUACCUGUUAUAGGUAAGUAUUUAAUAACGAGCUAUCACUAUAACAGGAAAUCAAAACUUAUAAAAUAUUGGAUAAUAGUGGAAAAUUUGUUAUUGAGUCAUCGGAAUUAGUUAGUUUAAUAGCCUGCCGUAAAGGCAGGUAGGGCUCUCUAAAUUCUCUAGUUUGCUUUCAGAUUUAUAAUGGAAAGAUUCUAUAAUUAUUAUUGGUUUAAAUCAUACCAAGUACAUAAUAUAUAUUUAAUCUUGGCUCCAUUUAGCGAACACGAGAUGCUAUAUCGACAACAACGUCGCGAUCUGACCAAAAUAGUAAAUAAAAAACAGCAUCAAUUAAGUCUCAUAUUCCAUAUGUCUAUGAAGUAUUUACCCAACAUUUACGUCGAUAAAUCAUAAAAGAUAUUCAGGACACAUGAAAUCAGGAGUAGGUAACUUAUGACGACUAUGAUUAAUCGAGACAAAAAUGAUGUGAUUGAUGAUGGAAUGAUCGAAAAUGUGAUUAUUACUUAAGUACUCUAAGGUUAUGUUGAAAUAGAAAGGUAAUUCGUACUAUCCGUAAUGGCGAUUCGUCGCUGCUUUUUUUGUCUUUGUUCAUUAACUUCAGGAAGCUGAAUUCGGAGACUGCAUUGCAAACUACAACCGUUGCCUUGUACACUCUAGAAUAACAAGCUCAUGUCUCCUGCGGUGAUAUUAGUUCAACCGAGUUCUGCAAACAAUGAACGUACCUGCGUCAUACCCCUAUACAAAGAAACUUGGUAAAGUUGAUAUUGGGAUCUUACGUAAUUCAAAUUUAUCAGCUUUUAUUAUGAUACGCAUUUGCUUAAUCAUAUAUGUUUGUUUUGAAUUUGCGUCUGUUUCGACGACGCCAUUUUGUCGAUGCUUGUCUUUUGUUCAGCUAGGUCCGCCGCGCUAAACGCGAUUGGUGGCUGCUGCAAUAGGAAGGCUUUUAUUUGAGACCAUUAUACUUGAAAACUUAAGCUGGAGCUGUUAUGUUGGUCCGUUAUGAACAAAGCAAAUUAUCCCCGAAGUUACUAUAUUAAUAACUAAGGUCUUCAAUAUCCUGACAAUUGAUAAAUAUCUAUAUCUAUAUUCAACGCUACAAAAUUAAGGACACACCACUAACUACAAUUACAAAGUAAAAUUAUAAAUAUCUGAACUAUGUAUGGAAAGCUGCAAGCUAUGGGACCUAUCACUGCAUAGUUACAUGUAAAUUACGAAACAAAACAGUAAAGGUAAAGCCCAUAUUGUAAAUUGAAUACUUCAUUUUGUACUUGCAUAGAACAGUUUGGUUGUCCUCGAAUGACUUAUACCAGAUGAAAUUGAGAAGCUAUGAAGGAGUGUAAACAUUAAUGUGGUAUGUUACACAUUGUCAUAUCUUAAAUGGCUUUUAAAUUUUAACGGAUUGCACUUGCAGUCCAUUAUUUUGGUGUGUUUUAUUUUAUUUAGGAUCCAGUUGUUUGAUUUGAGGCAUGGCAUUAGUCUAGAGAUGUUAUGAACCUGAUAUCAACCCACAAGUAUAUAUAUCUGCAUCGUGCGUAGGCGCAUGAGAAACAUAAGCACAAAAAUUUAAUAUAGAUACAUAUAUAAAUCAGCACUAUUUUUGUUGUACUUGCUACAUCUGAUAAAAACCGGAGAUGAAUACGACUUAAACCGCUGUCGAGGUAAUCACAAAGCUAAUUUAAAACUACAAUGACCAUUGGAGUAUUUAUCUACUGAAAUAAAUGUAAUAUGGGAUUCAAAUGAAAGGCCCAAUGCAAGUAUGUAUAUCAUUAUUAUGCUUUAAGAAAUCUAAAUAAUAAUGAAACGAAACUUAUCAUAAAUUUAUUAUUGAAUAUGAAAAUUGAAGUUAUAACCAAAAAUAUUAAACAUUAUCUAUAAUAAAAUAAGAGACAACCUAUUAACCUAUAUGGUUCGUUAAAAACUUGAAACUAGCAACAGAAAAGUAAGUAUUUGGAAUAGAUCACGUGACCCCAGAGCGGGUCUAGCAAAAUAUUCUUUUUUUGCUACAGCUUGUUACAUUCAUGCAAACGGUGCUCCAUCCUGUGACCGUCGCUGCAUCUGUACGAGACAAAAUAGAGUGCACUACAUGUCCCUCGUGUCAUCACUGCGUAAUUGCCUGGAGGCCAGAACGACUGUGGCCAAGAAUUUUAGCACCGUAACUUUGGCAAGUUACUAAACAAAAACACAUUUUAUUGUAAUUUCGUAUAAUUUACCUAUUUACCUUUACGCGUAGCUUUUUUAUUUGUAACCAAUACGUUUCCUUAAUAUGUAGCAAAAAGUAAUAUGGUUUUGUUCUGUGUGUUAUAAUAUUCCUCCUGCAGCGCAUCAUUUUGCUAGUAUUGAUGUUACCGUAACACAAUAUGUAUCUGCAUAAUGCAUCAUCCCUGCAGUUAGCUUCCUUCCCGUCGCCUAUUAUUUCCGCCAACUGCAGGAUGAACUUCUCCAUGAUGGCGUUCAGCACGGCACAUGUAAAAUGAUUUCUAACUGCACUUCGAUCCGGCGCGCUAUGAAUCCCCGAAGUCGAGAUAUGACAUGAUGACUUGUUGAUACUGACGCCGCGUCGCCACUCUGCAACCUAUGCAUGCCGGUGACGUGUUGCUUCAUGCUCGAGCUAGUCAACGCGUGCAUGGUUAUCAUUCGCGCUGGUGACACAUUCGCGUUGGCUGCUCGCAUCGACCUACACCCAGCGUGCCCGCCGCGUCGGUUCACCAAGGCGACUCGAGUACGUGACGUCACCAGCCUGGCCUGGCAAGCUAAUCUUGCACAUUGCCUGAACGCCUAACGUGUUCGAUCUUCGAUUCGUGCUGAAUUCUUGGCGCCUGUCGGAGCAGCCCAGUGUCACGUCACCUAUCACCAUUCGUGAUCGUAAUGCAGCGCAGACUUUGUGCUUCGAGCUAAAGCCGCGUCUUCCGCUAGCCUUCGGCGAGGUCGAGGUAGUGAGUUGAAAAUUUAUUUGCUUUGCCAAUCGUAAAAGCACUGCGUCACUGGCCUGCCAGUGGCGAAUCACACGUUUCAAUUCCGCGCUCCGAUUUCUUUUUUUUAUCAGAUCCUUGGCGCCUGUCUGCCGGGUCAUUCAGGCAUCUGCCAGCUGAGCAUCUGCACAUAGAGGAGACGCGUUAACAACCUGUCGGACCAGACUGGCCGGGCUCUGCUUCCACUUCGUGCCAGCUCCUUGGCGCGCCUGCCUACGCGAUCGUGUCUCCGUGACUUCGCGCUACUGAUCUUCCCUGGUCCAGACAACGCGGCGUCAACAGCCAGUCGGUGCAGGCUGGUCAGGCACAUCGCCUGGCUCCGGCCGGGCUUUGCUUCCACUGCGUGCCAGCUCUUUGGCGCCUGCCUACGCGAUCGUGUCUCCGUGACUUCGCGCUACUGAUCUCCUCUGGUCCAGACAACGCGGCGUCAACAGCCUGCCGGUGCAGGCUGGUCAGGCACAUCGCCUGGCUGCGGCCGGGCUUUGCUUCCACUUCGUGCCAGCUCCUUGGCGCCUGCUUACUCGAUCGUGUCUCCGUGACUUCGCGCUACUGAUCUCCCCUGAUCCAGACAACGCGGCGUCAAUAGCCUGUCGUCGGUGCAGGCUGGUCAGGCACAUCGCCUGGCUGCGGCCGGGCUUUGCUUCCACUUCGUGCCAGCUCCUCGGCGCCUGCCUACGCGAUCGUGUCUCCGUGACUUCGCGGUACAGAUCUCCCCCUGAUCCAGACAACGCGGCGUCAAUAGCCUGUCGUCGGUGCAGGCUGGUCAGGCACAUCGCCUGGCUGCGGCCGGGCUUUGCUUCCACUUCGUGCCAGUUCCUUGGCGCCUGCCUACGCGAUCGUGUCUCCGUGACUUCGCGCUACUGAUCUCCCCUGGUCCAGACAACGCGGCGUCAACAGCCUGUCGCUGCAGGCUGGUCAGGCACAUCGCCUGGCUGCGGCCGGGCGCUUCCACUUCGUGCCAGCUCCUUGGCGCCUGUCUACGCGAUCGUGUCUCCGUGACUUCACGCUACUGAUCUCCCCUGGUCCAGACAACGCGGCGUCAAUAGCCUGCCGGUGCAGGCUGGUCAGGCACAUCACCUGGCUGCGGCCGGGCUUUGCUUCCACUUCGUGCCAGCUCCUCGGCGCCUGCCUACGCCAUCGUGUCUCCGUGACUUCGCGGUACAGAUCUCCCCUGGUCCAGACAACGCGGCGUCAAUAGCCUGUUGGUGCAGGCUGGUCAGGCACAUCGCCUGGCUGCGGCCGGGCUUUGCUUUCACUGCGUGCCAGUUCCUUGGCGCCUGCCUACGCGAUCGUGUCUCCGUGACUUCGCGCUACUGAUCUCCCCUGGUCCAGACAACGCGGCGUCAACAGCCUGUCGCUGCAGGCUGGUCAGGCACAUCGCCUGGCUGCGGCCGGGCGCUUCCACUUCGUGCCAGCUCCUUGGCGCCUGUCUACGCGAUCGUGUCUCCGUGACUUCGCGCUACUGAUCUCCCCUGGUCCAGACAACGCGGCGUCAACAGUCUGUAGCCUGCAGGCUAUGCGAACACAUCAGCUGGUUGCUGGUCGAGUGCAUCGCCUUACAGUUGGUCGGGUGCAUCGCCUGACAGGUGGUCGGGUGCAUCGCCUGGCUGCUGGUCGGGUGCAUUGCCUGGCUGCUGGUCGGGUGCAUCGCCUGACAGGUGGUCAGGUGCAUCACCUGACAGGUGGUCGGGUGCAUCGUCUGGCUGCUGGUCGGGUGCAUCGCCUGGCUGCUGGUCGGGUGUAUCGCCUGAGAGGUGGUCGGGCGCAUCGCCUGGCUGCUGGUCGGGUGUAUCGCCUGACAGGUGGUCGGGCGCAUCGCCUGGCUGCUGGUCGGGCUCUGCUUCCACUUCGUGGCAGCUUCUUUAUGCCUGUCUACGCGGUCAUGUCUUGGCAUCAUGUUAGUGGUCUCCCCUGAUCCAGACAACGCGAUGUCAACAGCCUGGUGUCAGGCAUAAUGCCUGGCUACGUCGUGCUAGCGGGCUACCUGGUCGAGGCGCAUUGACUAGACACCCGUUCGUGUUCUAUUGUAACUUGUGCCUGUCGCUGGGCGUCUGCCUGACGCGCCAUGUUGGUGCCUCGCAGAAUGUUGAAACCUGUGCGUGGAAAUGAAAAUGUCGCGCCGCGUCAACUGCCUGAACUGCCGUCGCGAGUUGGGAGCCCUGCGCCUACCACCUGCCCUGACAACUUCGGUGUCUCCCGUCUUCAACGGUGGCCAGUAUCAGGUACACAUUUAUGUAAUCGCAACUUUUCGACACGACGUUAAGGUAUUUGUUCGCAGAGUCGACUUGAUAAUGUGCCAACCGUCUUCAAACUUAUGGCGACGAGCCCAAAUGUCUACGUGUAUCCUAGAGCCACGUAAAAUCAAUCUUAAAUAUUAUGUACUUCGCUUCGUCUAUAUGCGGUACAGUGCGUGUUUUAUAAUCAUAUAGUAUCAUAAAUUAUACCAUAUAUUAUUAUUUUUGCGCUAAACAGCGCUUUGCCUUAACGGCCUUAGAGGCCAUAUGUUGCCUUAGUUCUUUGUUAGAUGGAGCAUCGCCCGUCUACCACCAUACCAAAUCAUCAUUCGGACGUCGAGAAGUCCGCGUCAGAACACGAGGUCUCUGUUAAUACGUUCGCGGUGCUGUGUACAACUAUAUGGUUCACGCCACACUUUGCAAAAGGCUCUGUGAAGGUACGAAUUCUAAAGCAUUGAAAAAAAAUGUUUACGUUUAUCUAUAUGGUCACCAUAGAAAAAACCAUGCUUAACUGUAACUCUGGUAAAAUUUCUACUGAAAUUACGUGAGCUAACAGAUCUGGGUAUAAAAGCUGCAUUAACGUAAAUUACUCAAAAAAAAUUGACGGAAUUUAGCGAGUGCCACUUCGUUACUGGUAAUAGAUUUUACAUAUUUCGAUGUAUAAAUAUAUCUUAACUAUUGCAUCGCAAAAGUAUUUCGCGUAACAGCCAAUGGUAUUCCAUGGCGCAGCUCUAAUAUAUGUUACAGUACGUCUUCAUUGAUCUAUUUCAUCUGCUAAAUCGCCACGAUUCGUCGGGAGUGUGCGCCAUCCAUCAAUUCACAGCGCAAUCUGACAGCAAUUUCGGUAUGUUUGUGCCCCACGCUCUAUAACUGCUUUCUACGUAGAAGCUCCCUUAACGCCGAUACAGCUAUCUGGUACUUUUAAAUACAAUCACUCUUAGAGUGAAUCAAAUGUAUAUGGAGCUAUCUGCGGUGACAACAGCGUAUGCCAAAUGCUUGUUUUGCGUCAUUACCACAAUGCGUCGACACAAGGUAUCAGUAACAGCUAAUGUAUAGUUAUGGCGCGUCGUGACUAAUCGUCCACCUUAAGAAAAGUAAACCGAGCCUAGAUGACCAUUGGGUAUGUACCUACCUAUGACCAUAACAUUAAUAUAAUUUUCUACGCAUAUUGUUCUGUCUCAUCGCAUCGAUACUGAUUGUCGUUGAAGGUACUUUCCAUAUUCCAUAAUAAACAUAAUAUUUGAUCCUUUGUUGGAACUUGGAAUAUGUUUGUUGUGUUUAACUGUGAACCACCAGACCAUAUGGAAAGCUGUCUCCAUUCCUGCGGCAGCAUUCAGGAGAUUUGAUGCGGGUCACCUCUACUAGAGCAUGCGCAACAACAGUUGUCAAGUUCAAGUAAGAAGUAAAGCGAAUGCAUGGCAUUUAGUACAUGUGUAUAGUGAAAAAAAAAACAUAAUUGAGAAAUGACGAAGUUACAAUACUGAAAAUUGUCACAAGUGCUUUAGGGUAUUUACAAAAAGAUUGAUUGAUCUUUAUUAUUAUGACAAAUAACUGCCAUUAAGUUAACGAAACGACUGAUACUAUCAGAAUACUCUAGUAGCUUCUAUGACAUGACAGUCCGCUUGCAAUGCGGCUGUCUUCUUCACGAAUCUGGAGGCAUCUUUACAGAUAUAUUAAGGCACCGUACAUAUAGCUGCUGGCUUGCCGGAACAUCGUGUCGUCCGUCGACCAGUACGACUCCGUGCGAAACAGCUUCACGUCGCCAACUAACUUCGUGGCAACAGCGAGACAAUAUCUAUCAGUGCGUACCGGUAACGCAAUACCUAACUAUCGCUUCGACCCUCAGGGAACUAGCCAUAGAUCUUUAAGCCGCGCCGUCUGUAAGCGGUUCGACGAGUUUGGGAAUCGAACACGCGUUUCCGCCAACCGGCACCGUCGGUGCCAACGAAAUCUCAUCACGGCAGUGGCCCAGCGCUUUAGCAGAAAAUUCUUCUGAUGGCAGGUCUUCUUUUACUAAUGAAUCAGGUAUAAAGAAAUACAUUUAUGUUUGGUGUCGUACCUAUGGUAAAUAAUAUUUAUAAGUAUUGCGCUGUAUAGCGCUUUUCUUAACGGCCUUCCGAGGCCAUUCGUCUUCUUCCUUAUUCGUCAGAUUGGGAAUCGCGCCCUUCUCUGCAACCUCAAGGCUUUACUAAGUAGUGGAAUAGCGAGACACGUCGCUUUGGAAUCGACAACAAUGCUGCAGCUUCAGCUGCGUUUGCGAUUACGGCGCAGUGAGCAUUUUUCAUAUCAUAUGGGCUCUGGCAAGGUAUGACUUCUGAUUGUUUUGAAAAUGUGACUGCGGUCGUCCAUUGGCAAUCAAUAAAUAGAAAAGUCAGCUCUAAAAAGUAAAUAAAUGGCCACACAUACUACCUAACCUCGGUGCCAACUUUAGUUACUGGUAAAUACGUAAUAUGACAAUUUAUAGACCUUUAACUACUGCAUGUCAAAAAUACGCAUAUUUGCGUCACCUAACAGCCAUUGGUUAGUUUGGUACGGAAUUGCUUGAUUGCGGAAUCGACGGUGGCGCUUCUGACAAUUAUGUACGAUAGCAUGUUGGCCCUAUAUUUUACUUCGAAGAGGUUCGUAACGAGUACAUUCUAUCAAUUUCUAUCCAGUAAAACAUACCACAGUACCUAUCGUCUCCGGUUUGUCGCCUAUUGAGUACGUAUCCUCAUCGCUAGUUACAUCAUUACCACCAAGCGCGAAUGAAAGGUAUCAAUGACUACCUAUUACUAAAGCUAUGAAUCUUCAUGACUUACACAUGCUGCGUGAAAAAUCAUCUGAAAAACAUGUCGAGUGUAAAAAGCUUCUUAUAUGUGUAGACAACCAUCACAAGUUGUUUUGCUGCGUUGCCUUUGCGCUGGAUAAACUGCUUCGGAGAAGGUAUUUGCAGAAUUGAUUGCAUUUUCAAACAUUAGAUGUGACAAACAUUAAUGGAGAAUGGACCUUCUCCCAUGGGUAAUUAGAUUUUUUGUAAGAUGACGACUUCAGACGCUCAACGAUCAAUGUUUCAUCACUACGUGAGCAUGUGGAUCAAAAGCUUUCUCAGCACUAUAGCUCAUCCGCAAUAUGACAAAAGCACGCCUUCUUAGAAUGGUAUUGUUUAAUAGUUUGUUAUGGAUUACUAAACAACCCAAUGGGCAGAGUAGCUUUGGAAUGACUAAUCAGCAAUGCCCUGCAUCGUGUUGGUCAGGUAAAUGCAAUACAUUAUGUUCGCUAGUUAUCCAUAUUUGUAUAAUAUUCCAUAGUGGUUUGAUCUGGAUUGAAUAGUAUUUUACUGAAUUGCGGGCAACCCGAGCAACUAAAAUAUGGUAUGGUAAAAUUCCUAAAUAUGUUCGUGCAAUGUGUGUUCGUCUUUUCUUCAAUCUGCUUGCAGUUUCAAGAAUUUAGCUUAUCACAUACAAAUUAAGACAUAAGGUACUAUGGUACACCACUAAUCCAUAUAACUGAGAAAAUGUUGAAGCACUGCCAUUUUAUGAGCUAUAUUCACUAACUAAUGAGGACAAAUGUAAUUGCAAAAUCUGUCCGGGUACGUACCUACGUUUAUCUUCUAUUCCUAUAUGCCAACAAUUAUUAGGACUUAACCAACAAUCCGAAGUUGAUGGUGAAAAAUCUCCACGAUUUCUCCGUAUUAAAAGCCAAUUGAGGAGUAAGGAUUAUUAUAAAUUACACGUCACUAACAUCUAAGGUUUCAAGUGAGAAAUAAACCAAGAGAAACUCCAGGCUAAUGAGACAUGGAUGAGUUGAUGUCUGGUGUCGGUUGUAAGUCGCUAAUGCAAAUAUUAUUUGUGUAGUUUUUAGUAAUAAUUUUUAUGCGAAAAACACUAACAACCCAAUUUACUUUAACAAAAUCAUAAUAUCCUAUGUUAAAUAUUAUGCAUCAUUGCGUGACAAUUUAUGUUCAUUAUUCAUUUUUGGCAUUUGUUUGGGUUAAUAUUUUAUUUUAAUUUAAUGGAUCGAACAACGUUUCAUUAACUACAGAUGCUUAUAUGUAUAUUGAUAAUCACCCAGUUCCAAUGCAAUUCUACUUGUGCAAUGUAUAUAUCUUUUAUAAGUUCUUCAUAAGCACGCUGUGAACGCAUGCAGCUAGAUACUUAAACGACAUGGGAAAUUGUUUAUUAAAAGCCAAUUUGAACUAUAUGUAGAAGUGCUGUCACUUUGAGGCUUUAACAUUAGCUUAAAGAAAUUUGUAAGUUUUAAAACACCUAAUGUGUAAAAUGUAAUAAUUGUAUGAAUAUGCAUGUUGUGUCGUGUUACAUUAUAUGCUCUAUUUUUAUGUAUGUAUACGUGUGUUGUGUACCUAAUCAGCGUUGUUUCAGGCACCUUACAUUAGCUAAAUUUGAUUGUUUCAGAAACAGUAUAUGUUGGUAAUUUCUUACUUAUAAAUACCGUACAAAAUGCAAUAAGUUAUUAACUGUAAAAAACCUCUUGCUUGUACACAUAAUUAUAAUGAAAAUUGUUUUGUCAUAUAUUGGCUAUAAGGCUACCAUUUCAGGAAAAUAUUUCAGAUAAUAUAAUAAUAUCAAAGAUAUUAGAUGAUGUGAAAAUUGAGUUACUUACUAUAAUACCAUAAACAUCAAAAGGUUACAAACAAUAUAUCGCCAACCUAUACAAAAUUAUGUGCAACGUAUCAUUUUAAAAGCAAAAUAUCAUUAAUCAAUAUGCAAAUAAAAAAUAUGCACAGAUUACUGGGGCUAUGCUCAAAAUACAUAUAUAUGUAACGAUACACAAACAGGUGAAUGGGAAAUUAUGCUCUAUAAUAUAGUCAGGCCAAAUGUAAGAAAACAUGCCAAAACAAGGAUUUAUUCCUUUUGGCUAGGUAUUAACUUUAUAUUUUCAGAUCUAUUUAUAACACGAUUAUUUUCGUGGAAUAAUGCUCCCAGACUAGCUCACAGCUCUCAUUCACAUAAAUUAUAAUUUAAAAAACCAAAAUAUAGAAAUUGGAUGAAAACCUGCAUAAACAAAUGGAGGAGUAUUUGAAUGUAAUAUUAAAUCUAUUCUGAAAGCUAUCAAUAAGAAAGUAAAAAUACAUUCGAAUAAAUAAACUGAUGCAUAUUAUGGGUAAUUUCACGAUUGGUAUAUUUGUAUGUGUGCGAGGUGAGUGCUAUAAUAGAAAAGUUUACUUUAAAUAAUGAACGAUUGUGAGCGAUACAUUAGAUCUUAGAAUUUUGUAACUAAAAGAUUGAACAAUUUUCUUCGUCUGUUGAUCUUUGUAUAAGCUUUUUUUUGGGUUUAUUAUAAUUUUACAUACUUAUUCUGUUUGUGGCGGAUAUGUUUGGGGUGGUGCGUAGGGUUAAUAUAAUGUUAUAGUUUCUUACAGACCAGCAUUUUAGGUAAAUUUAAUAACAAGCGAAAAUGUCCAAGUACUUAUAUCACUUUAUAAUAAAGCUAUGGAAAGAAUUUGCAAGAUGAAGUUUACUUACAUGAUCGUGGAAUUGUGUUUUAUGGAAAAGAUCAAUAAGAAAAGGACAGACAUAAUAUUUUAAUAAUUUCAGGAACAAAUUAAUUAUUAUUGUAAUAUUGAUACAUAACCAAGUAAUUCUGAAACAAAACAAUAGGGUAGACAAUCAAAGAAGACAAUGAUAUAUUUUUUUUCAGUAAACUUAUAAGAAAAGCCAUGUCGCGAAGUUUAUUUUCAAGUUGUAACAGAGUUACCAGUCAUGAUGUGAGGUUAUCACCUUGUGGUAUCAUCUUGUGAAAUGUGCCUAUUGCAAGUUUAUAAUAUUAUCAUGAGAAUGAUGUGAAAAGUUGUCUAGAAAUGAGUUUAUUGAAAGUUACUGAAAUCAAUAUGGUGAAUUGUUGUUAUUCGUGAUGUUGCAUAUAAUGUUUAAAUGUAUGAAUUAAAAUGUGGCACAUAAGUGAGUUAUAACGUUUAUAAUACUGUGAAAUUAAAUUGUACAUGUUGCAAUACCUAGUAAUAUUCAAGUAAGAAGAAUCAAAUUAUAACAAUUACUGAAAACAAUAUAGAUGAAACAGUCAUGGAAAAUAUCGAACAGAAGUUAAGAAGAGUUUACUACGAAAACAAUUGUUCAGUAAUAUCCUAUUUUAACACCACACUCAGCUUCGUCUAAUUUAAUAAUUACAUCAGUCAAGUCCAAGAAAUAAAAGAAUACAAGCAAAGAUAUUAUAGAAGAUGAAAGAAGAAUACUAACAAUUAAAUUAGCUGUACUAAGGAGGCUUGAUGCAAGUUCAUAUUUAUAAUUUACAAGAAAAUUACAAAACUCGUAUACCAACGCAGAGAAGAGAGAAGUUGAAGAUGACACAAUAGAGAAGAUGAACAAAGUAGAGGAUGCGACCUGUCUUUGCGACACAUGAUACAUUAAAGAUGCGGCGUCCUACUCAUGAUGAUGAAAAAGGAAAAUAAAUAGUCUACGCCAUUGUAUGACACUAAAUUAACAAAGACGCUAAAGAUCGUUAAGAAACAUGAAGAGAGAAGACAAAGCAUGCGACGUUCCAUGAAAGAUGAUGAAGAAACAAGAGAAUGCGGCCUGCAGCGGAUGAAGAAAGAAGAGGAUGCGGCCUACAGAAGAUGAAGAUAGAAGAGGAUGCGGCGUGCCACUGCAGAACAUGAAGAAAGAAGAGGAUGCGGCGUGCUACUACUGAAGAUGAAGAAAGAAGAGGGUCCGGUUUGCUAUUAUAGAAAAUAAGACUGAAGAGUACUCGGCGUAAUAUUAAUAAACAUGAAAAAAAAGAGGAUGCGGUGUGCCACUACAGAAGAUGAAAAAAUAAGACGAUGCGGCGUCCCCCUGCAGAAGAUGAAGAAAGAAAAGGAUGCGGCGUGCCACUGCAGAAGACGAAGAAAGAAGAGGAUGCGGCGUGCCACUCCAGAAGACGAAGAAAGAAGAGGAUGCGGCGUGCCACUGCAGAAGAUGAAGAAAGAAGAGGAUGCGGCGUGCCACUGCAGAAGAUGAAGAAAGAAGAGGAUGCAGCGUGCCACUGCAGAAGAUGAAGAAAGAAGAGGAUGCGGCGUGCCACUGCAAAAGAUGAAGAAAGAAGAGAAUGCGACGUGCCAAUGCAGAAGAUGAAGAAAGAAGAGGAAGCGGCUUGCCACUGCAGAAGAUGAAGAAAGUAGAAGAUGCGGCGUGUCACUACUCAAGAUGGAGAAGGAAGAGGGUGUGGUGUACUACAACAGAAGACGAAGAAAGAAAAGGAUGCGGUUUGCUAUUAUAGAAAAUGACACUGAAGAGGAUGCGGUGUAAUAUUAAUGAUCAUAUAGAGAAAGAAGAGGAUGCGGCGUGCCAUUACACAAAAUGAAGAAAGAAAAGGAUGCGGCGUGCCACUGCAGAAGACGAAGAAAGAAGAGGAUGCGGCGUGCCACUCCAGAAGACGAAGAAAGAAGAGGAUGCGGCGUGCCACUGCAGAAGAUGAAGAAAGAAGAGGAUGCGGCGUGCCACUGCAGAAGAUGAAGAAAGAAGAUGCGGCGUGCCAAUGCAGAAGAUGAAGAAAGAAGAGGAUGCGGCGUGCCACUGCAAAAGAUGAAGAAAGAAGAGGAUGCGACGUGCCAAUGCAGAAGAUGAAGAAAGAAGAGGAAGCGGCUUGCCACUGCAGAAGAUGAAGAAAGUAGAGGAUGCGGCGUGUCACUACUCAAGAUGGAGAAGGAAGAGGGUGUGGUGUACUACAACAGAAGACGAAGAAAGAAAAGGAUGCGGUUUGCUAUUAUAGAAAAUGACACUGAAGAGGAUGCGGCGUAAUAUUAAUGAUCAUAUAGAGAAAGAAGAGGAUGCGGCGUGCCAUUACACAAAAUGAAGUAAGAAGAGGAUGCAACGUGCCACUACAGAAGACGAAGAAAGAAGAGGAUGCGUCAUGCUUUUGAGGAAGACGAAGAAAGAAGAGGAUGCAGCGUGCCACUUCAGAAGAUGAACAAAGAAGAGGAUCCGCCUUGCUAUUAUAAAGAAUGAGAUCGAAGAGGAUGCGGCGUUAAUAUUGAUAAUCAUAUGAAGAAAGAAGAGAUUGCGGCGUACUUUUAAGGAACACCAAGAAGGAUGCGGCGUGCACGUACAGAAGAUGAAGAAAGAGGAUGCAGCGUGCCACUACUGAAGAUGAAGAAAGAAGAGGAUUCGGCUUGCUAUUAUAGAAUAUGCAGAAAGAAGGGUAUGCAGCGUGCUACUACAGAAGAUGAAGAACGAAGAGGAUGCGGAUCGCUAUUACAGAUAAUGAGAAUGAAGAGGAUGCGGCGUAAUAUUAAUGGUCAUAUGAAGAAAGAAGAGGAUGCGGCGUGCCAUUACACAAAAUGAAAUAAGAAGAGGAUGCAACGUGCCAUUACAGAAGAUGAAGAAAGAAGAGGAUGCGGCGUGCUUUCGAGGAAGACGAAGAAAGAAGAGGAUGCAGCGUGCCACUUCAGAAGAUGAAGAAAGAAGAGGAUCCGCCUUCCCAAUUUAGAGAAUGAGACCGAAGAGAAUGCUAUGAAUAAAAAGACUGCAGAGUUUUUGCAAGUCGAAUGUAGUUACCAAAAGCAUAUAGAAUUGAAAGGACUCAAAAGGAAACUUGUGUCCCCGAUCAUAUAUUAUGAAUGAAAAAGAACAUAAAUAUUAUUUGAUACUAAUAAUCUUUGUUAGAAAAUGAUAAGGUUCAAAGAAGACAAAAACAAAUCACUAUAAAAUGCAUGAAGACUGAAGCGGAUGCAGCGCACUAUUGCGGAAGAUGAAGAAAGAAAAUUGGAACGGAUGCGGCAUGUUACUACGGAAGAUGAAGAAAGAAGACUGAAGAGAAACUAAUAUGCAGCGUUGCACCACAGAAAUAAAAAUACCACGAAGAAGAUUAAAGAGCACAAGUAUUAAAUCAAAGUAUAUUAAACUAUUAAGGAAGAAACCUUAAUGAUACGAAUAGAAAAAUAAACUAAAAGAAAUUGAAUUGAUAUCAAAAUCUAAGAAAGGAAGUUUCAAUGCAAAGUGUAUCUUGAACUAUCAUGAAUUUAUUCAUGGGACACGAAACGGAUACAAUAAUAAUUAAUUUAAUUAACUUCUGUUGGUAACACAGGACAUCAAUGAAUUACUAAAGAACAAAUUAAUCAGAACAUAAAGUACCAAAUAUGAAGAGCCCUUUAUUACACCGACCAGCUUAAAUAAACGGUAUUUCAGUAGCUCGUGUCCGCGGAGAAUAUACAAGAAAUUCAAAACAUACUGCCAGAAAAUAACAGUAAUGUUACUUUAAAAAAUAAACAAAUAUAAAUUA